GACGAACGCUGGCGGCGUGCUUAACACAUGCAAGUCGUACGGUAAGGCCCUUUCGGGGGUCCACGAGUGGCGAACGGGUGAGUAACACGUGAGUAACCUGCCCACAACUUUGGGAUAACGCUAGGAAACUGGUGCUAAUACUGGAUAUGUGCUCCUGCUGCAUGGUGGGGGUUGGAAAGCUCCGGCGGUUGUGGAUGGACUCGCGGCCUAUCAGCUUGUUGGUGGGGUAGUGGCCUACCAAGGCGGCGACGGGUAGCCGGCCUGAGAGGGUGACCGGCCACAUUGGGACUGAGAUACGGCCCAGACUCCUACGGGAGGCAGCAGUGGGGAAUAUUGCUCAAUGGGCGCAAGCCUGAUGCAGCAACGCCGCGUGCGGGAUAACGGCCUUCGGGUUGUAAACCGCUUUCAGCAGGGACGAAGCUUUUUGUGACGGUACCUGCAGAAGAAGCACCGGCUAACUACGUG
rnacentral:rRNA from 1 species